rfam:Lechevalieria aerocolonigenes strain NRRL B-16140 contig49.2, whole genome shotgun sequence.
CGAUUCGGGUGCCGUGAGGCCUCGGUCCGCUCGACUAUCGGCCCUGGCGCACCUUCCCCGGCGCCAGGUUCGACGGGCGGGCGGGGACCUGACGUCACCCGAUACGCGCA